rnacentral:snRNA from 1 species
AUCCUUUUGCAGAGGCAAUUUCAUAGUCUAUGAAGUUCUACUGAGACGUGAUUAUUGCUGGUUGAAAACUUAACCCAUUAAUACUACUUGAAGUAGCCUCCUGACUACCAGUAGUUCAAAUUUGUCCUCUGUGGAGG